CAACAUCACAUGCAACUCUGCCCCACUGACACCUGUUGGCGACUAUGUGGAGAAAAAGGCACAUACAUCCACAUGUGGUGGCAAUGCCCCAAAGUAAAAGAGUUUUGGGGAAAAAUAGUGGACAUGCACACUAAAAUCCUACACCGACAAAUAACACUGGACCCUUGGGCAUGCCUACUAUCACGACCGACAAACGGACUAGACAAACACGACCAAAAACUUCUGAAUAUGCUCAAUCUAGCAGCUCGCAGAGCACUGGCACAAUACUGGAUAAAACCAG